rnacentral:rRNA from 1 species
CGGACGGGUGAGUAACGCGUGGGUAACCUGCCCCAUAGAGGGGGACGAACAGCUGGAAACGGCUGCUAAUACCGCAUAGCAGGGGAAGAGACGCAUGUCUUUUCCUUCAAAGAUUUAUCGCUAUGGGAUGGACCCGCGUCUGAUUAGCUAGUUGGUAGGGUAACGGCCUACCAAGGCGACGAUCAGUAGCCGGCUUGAGAGAGUGGACGGCCACAUUGGGACUGAGACACGGCCCAGACUCCUACGGAAGGCAGCAG